rnacentral:rRNA from 1 species
CGGUAAUUCCAGCUCCAAUAGCGUAUAUUAAAGUUGUUGCAGUUAAAAAGCUCGUAGUUGGAUUUCUGCUAACGUUGUUGCGUGGUUCCAACUUUGGAACUCGCACGCGUAAGCAUCUUCUCGGAGACCCGGGUUCCCUUCAGUGGGCGCUUUGGUGUGCUCCGGGAUCUUUACUUUGAAAAAAUUAGAGUGUUCAAAGCAGGCCGUCGCUUGAAUACAUUAGCAUGGAAUAAUAGAAUAGGACUUGGGUUCUGUUUUGUUGGUUUAUAGGACCGAGGUAAUGAUUAAUAGGGAUAGUUGGGGGCAUUAGUAUUUUAUUGUCAGAGGUGAAAUUCUUGGAUUUAUGAAAGACUAACAUCUGCGAAAGCAUUUGCCAAGGAUGUUUUCAUUAAUCAAGAACGAAAGUUAGGGGAUCGAAGACGAUCAGAUACCGUCGUAGUCUUAACCAUAAACUAUGCCGACUAGGGAUCGGUGGGUUUAUUUUAGCAGGCCCAUCGGCACCUUAUGGGAAACCAAAGUUUUUGGGUUCUGGGGGGAGUAUGGUCGCAAGGCUGAAACUUAAAGGAAUUGACGGAAGGGCACCACCAGGAGUGGAGCCUGCGGCUUAAUUUGACCCAACACGGGAAAACUCACCAGGUCCAGACAUAGGAAGGAUUGACAGAUUGAGAGCUCUUUCUUGAUUCUAUGGUUGGUGGUGCAUGGCCGUUCUUAGUUGGUGGAGUGAUUUGUCUGGUUAAUUCCGUUAACGAACGAGACCUUAACCUGCUAAAUAGUUACGCGAUCCUCGGAUCGCGGGAAUACUUCUUAGAGGGACUAUCGACGUUUAGUCGGUGGAAGUUUGAGGCAAUAACAGGUCUGUGAUGCCCUUAGAUGUUCUGGGCUGCACGCGCGCUACACUGACGAGAGCAACGAGUUAUCCUACUCCGGAAGGAGCGGGCAAUCUUUUGAAAUCUCGUCGUGCUGGGGAUAGAUCUUUGCAAUUAUCGAUCUUGAACGAGGAAUUCCUAGUAAGCGCAAUUCAUCAAAUUGCGUUGAUUACGUCCCUGCCCUUUGUACACACCGCCCGUCGCUACUACCGAUUGAAUGGUUUAGUGAGGCCUCGGGAUUGAUAAGUGGGCGCUGGCAACAGCUCCCUAUUGUCGAGAACUUGGUCAAACUUGAUCAUUUAGAGGAAGUAAAAGUCGUAACAAGGAAGCCGUA